UAAAAUAUAAUUGUGAACGCGUUCGGCUCAACAAUAGGGAAAAAAUCGUAAACAGCAGCGCGUACACACGCAGAACAAUAAAGUACCAGCCGACGAGGUGUCAUUAAAACGCACAAUUACUCGCGCAAAUACUUCAAGCCCUAGGCUCAGAAAAAAACACGCCAAGGGUGAAAUUAGGGAAAAUCUAGUGGACAACAAUAAAAGAAAGCCAAAAAAUACAAUUAGUUCAAGCAAUUUAAAAAGUUUCCACCCUGAAAGUUAUCCAUUCCGACAUUGAAAGAUUUCCACCAUUUCCAAGCAAAAAUCAUGAAUGUGUUUUCAUGAGUCAUUCUUCGAAGCAAAGCUGAAUCAACGCCGAGCGCGAAUAAGUUCUACAGACAAUAAGCAGCAUGAUUUACAUCGGACACAUAGCUUAUAUCAAGGACGUGAGGUUGGCACCGACCAACACAGAGCACAAUACCACAGAAUAUCCCACAAUAUCGCAUUGUGCACGGCGAUUGAGGAAGCAGUGCGAAGGAGCGAGCGCUGAUGUUGUGUGUAUCGGGGGGAUGGUUGAUUUUGACCUAUUUUCGUCGGGAUAACGCUGCGCUCGGUGACCUACAUUCAGUACGGCGCAAACUACGCAAAGGAAAAUCAAUUGUAUCCUUUCGCGCGUGCAGGAGAACAACUGUAGAGGACUACUACAGGAAUUCCACAGCAAAUAUUUUAUAAUAAAAUAAUCUCUUUAUAAUGAAACACAAAUAAAAAAUAGAAAAUCGUUUUCAAAAACUCACCAGCGAUGUAACUGCUGUUUUCCGA